GGGGGCGUAGCUCAGCUGGGAGAGCGCGUGAAUGGCAUUCACGAGGUUGAGGGUUCGACUCCCUUCGCCUCCA
rnacentral:tRNA from 1 species